rnacentral:rRNA from 1 species
AGUGAACGCUGGCGGUAGGCCUAACACAUGCAAGUCGAACGGCAGCACAGUAAGAGCUUGCUCUUACGGGUGGCGAGUGGCGGACGGGUGAGGAAUACAUCGGAAUCUACUUUUUCGUGGGGGAUAACGUAGGGAAACUUACGCUAAUACCGCAUACGACCUACGGGUGAAAGCAGGGGAUCUUCGGACCUUGCUCGAUUGAAUGAGCCGAUGUCGGAUUAGCUAGUUGGCGGGGUAAAGGCCCACCAAGGCGACGAUCCGUAGCUGGUCUGAGAGGAUGAUCAGCCACACUGGAACUGAGACACGGUCCAGAAUCCUACGGGAGGCAGCAGUGGGGAAUAUUGGACAAUGGGCGCAAGCCUGAUCCAGCCAUACCGCGUGGGUGAAGAAGGCCUUCGGGUUGUAAAGCCCUUUUGUUGGGAAAGAAAAGCAGCAGGUUAAUACCCCGCUGUUCUGACGGUACACAAAGAAUAAGCACCGGCUAACUUCGU